UUCAAAAUCACAGGUGUUGAAGGCCAGUA
rnacentral:piRNA from 1 species